GUAAAGAAACCACGCCAUAUAGAUUGCUUUAUCUGGCAAUUCGAAUACUACAAUUUUUGUAGGUAUAAAUAGGCGUGCAGCAUUUCAGUGCAAGUAUAACAAGUUAUUUUGUGCAAAUCUGUACUUUGUAUAUUUUCCUUCUACAAGUUCUCCAAGAACCAACUCAGAAACCAAAAAUGGGCGCAGAAAAAGUAUCAAUGAACAUCGUUGUCGUCGGACAAGUGCAAUCCGCCAAAGCCAUCAAGACUGUCGCCAAGACCAGCCCAGCUGUCAACCAGGCCAUGAAUUGUUAAUGAAACAAUUCCAUGAUGCCAAACUCAAAAAUGCCAUAGACCACACAAUGCAUAUUACUUAUACCAUAAUAAUAAUAAUAUGUAUUGAUAUGCUCAAAUAAAUUUUCAAAAAUCCGCCGUUAAAA